AGUGAACGCUGGCGGCGUGCUUAACACAUGCAAGUCGAACGAGAACGGGUUAUAGCUUGCUAUAAUUGUCAGCUAAGUGGCGCACGGGUGAGUAAUGUAUAGGUAAUAUGCCUCUUACUAAGGGAUAACAAAUGGAAACGUUUGCUAAUACCUUAUACUCCUUAUUAACAGAAGUUAAUAAGGGAAAGAUUUAUUGGUAAGAGAUUAGCCUGUAUUGUAUCAGUUAGUUGGUGGGGUAAUGGCUUACCAAGACUAUGACACAUAACUGGUUUGAGAGGAUGAGCAGUCACACUGGAACUGAGACACGGUCCUGACUCCUACGGGAGGCAGCAGUGGGGAAUAUUGCACAAUGGACGACAGUCUGAUGCAGCAACGCCGCGUGGAGGAUGACACAUUUCGGUGCGUAAACUCCUUUUAUAUGAGAAGAUAAUGACGGUAUUAUAUGAAUAAGCACCGGCUAACUCCGUGCCAGCAGCCGCAGUAA
rnacentral:rRNA from 1 species